AAUUAACACAAGAUAAUGAACGGAAUGUUUUCAUAAAUUUAUGAAACAAAUAUAGAACAUAUGAAUAGAAGCAACCGACGUGGAAAAAAAAAUAAUGAUAACAAUAAUAAAAAGGAAAAACAGACCCCCUUCCCCUACCGGAUAUUAUUAAAGCAAAAGCCUUUCGACGUGGCAAGAGGAAGCCCGAAAAUUCCUCCAGCAGGAGACUUCAUCGAGACUUGUUGACACACACAAAACAUUAAGACGCCCGUUUGGCCAUAAUGACAAAUUACCUCCAUACAAACAACCACUUAAUUGUUGUUUGCUCUGUUUGUGAUGUGUACUUUCAUGUCAGCUCCCCCUUCGGCCUCCCUCCCUCCCUCCCUCCCCUUCAUCCAUCCUCCCGCGAAGCAACGGUCGAGAACACUUAAGGAGAAAGCGCGUGUGCGAACGACACGCAUUGACACACUACACACUACUGUGUUCUGUGUCAAGGUUCUUCAAAUUACGGGUCGCGAUCUUGUACUGGGUCGCAAGCUCUUGUUCAGUGGGUCGCCACAGAAUCCCCCUGUAAGCUAGAUUGGGAUAAGAUAACCAACAACAAGCAGGCACACCAAUCACACAGAACAGGGUGGUUUCUGUGAGCAAAAUAACACGUCGUGACCCUCCUAACACAGAGACCUUCAGAUGGCAAAAAGCUGAUCGUUGCCCCCUAAGAAAGCAAGCAUGGCCGGACACCCAGAAAGAAAGAAAAAAAAGAGAAAGACAAACUACAGUGUUUACUGAUGAUGAUGCCAAAAGGCUGAUCUAUCUUAAAAAAAAAAAAAAAAAGCAAGGACACCCUCCCCCCUCUCAAAAAAAAGAGGAAAUCUCAGAAAUUCAAACUACGUCUCACAUUCCCACUUUUGUGACCUCUGACCCAUGUUAAAAAUAAAAAAAAUAUAUGCUUAUGUCAAGGAAAGUUUAUAGUUUGUUCACGAUUUUGGUAUGCGAUAUAAUUAGCUUUUCUAAGGAUUUUUUAUUUAUAUGUUUAUUUGUUUAUUGUUUUUUUCUUUCUCCUGUAGCACGCAUCCGUGCGUGCUUGCGUACGUGUGUGUGUGUGGAGGGGGUUUCGUUUGUGUGUGCGUUUGAGGGAGAAGUAAAGGAUAUAGAGAAUGUAAGAAAAGAAGAGAUAGAAAAAGAGAGAGACAGACA